CUGCGCAGUUUGUUUAUCUAUGGAUUCAACAUGGCAGCAGACGCGAAGCUACCGUUUGAUGCAGCCUGCCUUAGAUAUUGUUUUAAGUAGUUUAGAAUGCAAGUUUAUUUUGAAAAAAAGAGCCGUUUUGGUGUUAAACUUCGCGAGACCCCAGUCGUUAUUGUUGUCUCGACAUUAAUCGCCCAAUGGAGGACCAGGGAGGCGGUCAACCUUGGAAUAUCUGCCGCUCAGUUGUGUCUCGAGAAAGAAAAUGCGAUAAAGAAUUGUCGAUACCAACUUCUGUUCGGCAGUCCCGACUCCCGAGGCCUGGAUGAGCGUAAAGUGGCAAGACAUGUUAGCCACGGAGUUGUAUUACCAACCUGCUAGGCAUCGUCGUCGACGAAGUCCAUUUAACUUAUAAAUGCUCGUGAUUUAUGACGACAGAAGCUUCGUUCACCUGAGAAUCACGUGUGUGACGGCAUGUCGAAGGGAACACAGCAUCUGAUGCAGAAGAUCCCGACAGCAGCAGCGACUAUCAUCAGAGAUGCAGCAACAGAAGAAGAAGAGAUCAACACUAUCAGUGACUCUGAGACUGGACCUGAAGGAGAUAGUCAUUAGUCUCGUCUGCCAGUUCCUGUCAUCAGCAGAGACUGUUCCGUUCUCAGACUGUCCCCAAAUUGUUCAUUGU